GAUGAACGCUGGCGGCGUGCCUAAUACAUGCAAGUCGAGCGAACGGACGAGAAGCUUGCUUUUCUGAUGUUAGCGGCGGACGGGUGAGUAACACGUGGAUAACCUACCUAUAAGACUGGGAUAACUUCGGGAAACCGGAGCUAAUACCGGAUAAUAUUUUGAACCGCAUGGUUCAAAAGUGAAGGACGGUCUUGCUGUCACUUAUAGAUGGAUCCGCGCUGCAUUAGCUAGUUGGUAAGGUAACGGCUUACCAAGGCAACGAUGCAUAGCCGAUCUGAGAGGGUGAUGGGCCGGGCUGGGGCGGAGAGGCGGUCGAGAGUGGUACGGGAGGCAGGAGGGGGGAGUCUACCGCAGAGGGGGGAAGGCUGACGGAGCAACGCCGCGGGAGUGGUGAAGGUCUUCGGAUGGUAGAACGCUGUUGUUAGGGAGGAGCGUAUGUGUAAGUAACUGUGCACACCUUGACGGUACCUAAUCAGAAAGCCCCGGCUAACUACGUG
rnacentral:rRNA from 1 species